UACAGAGGGGGCAAGCGUUAUUCGGAAUUAUUGGGCGUAAAGAGCUCGUAGGCGGCCGGUUGCGUCUGCUGUGAAAUCCCGGGGCUUAACCCCGGGCGUGCAGUGGAUACGGGCCGGCUGGAGGCAGGCAGGGGAGAAUGGAAUUCCCGGUGUAGCGGUGAAAUGCGCAGAUAUCGGGAGGAACACCGGUGGCGAAGGCGGUUCUCUGGGCCUGUACUGACGCUGAGGAGCGAAAGCGUGGGGAGCGAACAGG
rnacentral:rRNA from 1 species